AUGGCCCAGAACUUGAAGGACUUAGCGGGAUACCUGCCCGCGGAGCCUCAGGGCAUGGGCACAGUGCUGAAACUGCUGCUGGGGGCCGGCCGCCCAGAACAUCUCUAAGAUGAUUGACAUGUCACAGAACCGAAUCUAUCUCACAGCUGACAACCUUGUGCUGAAUCUACAGGAUGAAACUUGGAGAAGUAACAGCCUCAUUAAGGAUAAGAAAU
rnacentral:lncRNA from 1 species